AAACUGAAAGAAACUUGAGCACCACUUCCUACUUUUUAAUUUAUUGUUUUGUUUUUCACAUUUUAAGACCAAAUCUGAACACUCAGAUUCAAAUCUAAAAUGUUCUUAUUUUCCUUUAAUUAUCUACCACUUUUAGACUUUAUUUAGCUCCAUUCGCAUGACUGAAAGAUAUCUCAUAAAUGACCGAUUUUUCAUUUUAUACCAAAAAUGUAACACGUGUCCAUGUGUGGAAAUAACCCAUGACUCAUUGCUUCUGUUGCCACAGGUGUUUUCACAGGCAGCAGGAAAGAUAAACACAAGGAUGUUCGGGAUAGAGUGACAUCUCCAGUGCUGAUGUCUUUCGCGAGUUUUCUGUCCUCGCGUCUCUCCAGCCCGAGAAGCUGAGGAGAAGAAGCAUACAGUUCAGCCAGAAGCUGUAGUGACCGACAGACCACCGCUUCGAUUCCCAUUCUUUAGUCAAUAUGUGUUAAAAUAGAAGCAGUUGAACUGAAUGUUUCAUAUUACUUACAUUGCUUGACUCCUGUUUUUUCUAGUAAGGUAGCUCAUAAUACAUGGCUAAAUAUUUAAAGGACAAUAAAUCUAGCUUCUGCACAGUACUCUGCACUCUCAGUAUAUGGAAUUGAAUCUCUAUAAUCUUUGGCAUCUCACUUCCAAUGUUAAUUUAUUUUUUGUCUCUGUUUUGCAAAUGAAUUCGCACACUAAAGAAAUGGGUGUGGAUGUUUUUCUUUUGUUGUCAGCAAUGAGUUAAGCUCGUGCUCAAACGUGAUGAGAAAUGACUGUUGUCUCGUAUACUUUAAAGAAAAACAAUGGUGAAGGAAGCCAUGAGGUUUCAGCUUUGCAUUUUUUCUCGAUGAGAUUGAGUCUGGGUGUUGGUCAUGCCAAAAUCUCAAGGUCAUCCCAAUGAAUUGGAAUAAUAUAAAAAAAGUUUAUUUAAUUCAAAAAGGUGAAAUGAUGAUGAUGAUGAUGAUGAUGA